GGGCGGCAUCUUAUCAGCCAGCUCCAGACCGGCAGAGGCCGUCAUAUCCGCACUGGAAAUACACAGGGCUUCCAGUAACAGGCCUCGCCCAUGGAGCUCUAGCCACAGGAUAACAACAUGAGCACAGCAGAGCCUGUAUCGCUCCAGCAGUGUUGGACCUGGACCACAGCCCGAGCAGCAGGGUAAGCUGGAUGAUGCCGGAAGGACACCGUCUCCCCAGAGAUCACUUCUGGUGAAAUUUAUGAGGCCUCUCUGCAUUACUAAUGUCCUCCUGUAAGUGGUGAGGUCAUGGUAUUGGACAAAAAUCACUUUGAGAGACUCAUAUCUCAAGAAAAACACCUCUCUGCUCACUUUAUUGUGUACAAUGAGCAUAUAUAUAUCUGUUUUAAGUGACUGCAUGUAACAGAGAUUGAUUACAUUUCUAAAGGCAACAAUGGUUCAUAAUGAAGGCAACACCCAGUGUAUUCUUCUUGUCUUCUGUUCAACGCCUCAGGUUAUUGAAGUACUAAUACACUGUGGUCUCGCAAUGCAGGAAAUGCACAUACCGGUAUUGUUGUCAGAAAUGCUACACUAUACACACUACCUUUCAGCCUAUGUGAGAGAGAAAGAGCGAUCAAACAGAGCAGAUUGCCACAUGAAAGGGAACAGAGAAUUCAUGAAUCUGUCUCAUCAUGUUUGCACUUUUCCCAUCUUUAGUGUUGUUUACUCUCACCAAGGCAUGGCAGAUAAAGUUGAUAAUGACUGUACUGAAAUAUUCCUGAUUUUCUUUUUUUUGGGGUAACAUUAAUAUCCUGAGCAGCCAGCUGAGUAAUAUAAUUUCCUCCUGAGGAAAGAUGAACAAAGGGAGAAUUGAGGACUGAACAGAAAGAGAAAAUGGUACUUGAGGUGAAUGAUUAUGUGGUCAUUGAAGUGACUCAUAUGCCUCACCCAGUGUUCAAUGAUCAAAUAAUUGCUUAUCAGUUUACCACAAUAUAAAAUUACAUUUUUCUUUAGCACAACCACAAGACAAGAAUUAUGACAAGAGUUCAAAGAAACCAUGAAAAAUAUGUGACAUACUUAAGCCGUUCUCUUCCUUAAAGGAAUUCCUUAUGUUUUUUACAUGACUGGAGGUUGUUGCUGGCAAUCUGGGAGUGUAAGUCAUUCUCAGGAGGAGUAGAGGUUGAGGUUGGAAUGUCCGUGAGGGUCACAGACGACACAACCUCUGUGGCAGGACUCCAGAAAACGACCCCUGGGAGCCAAGCCACUGGAGUCCCACUGUGCUAGACCGGCCACACAAAGCUGUGCACUAAUUUAUACUCAAACUGAUGAAGGAGACAAGAAAUGCUCAUCUACCUAUUCAGCUUUUUUAUUUGUAGACAGGAUUAAGUCAGACUGAGAAAACUUUGUUGGCUCAUUUAGCCUAACACAUACAGUACCUCCCUGUGUACAACUAUGUAAAAACUAAAAGAAAAUAUAUGUUAAUUUAAGCAAUUAUUAUUAGUUGUUUAGUAGUUAGCAGU